rnacentral:rRNA from 1 species
CCUGGUAGUCCACGCCCUAAACGAUGUCAACUAGUUGUUGGGGAUUCAUUUCCUUAGUAACGAAGCUAACGCGUGAAGUUGACCGCCUGGGGAGUACGGUCGCAAGAUUAAAACUCAAAGGAAUUGACGGGGACCCGCACAAGCGGUGGAUGAUGUGGAUUAAUUCGAUGCAACGCGAAAAACCUUACCUACCCUUGACAUGUACGGAAUCCUGCUGAGAGGUGGGAGUGCUCGAAAGAGAACCGUAACACAGGUGCUGCAUGGCUGUCGUCAGCUCGUGUCGUGAGAUGUUGGGUUAAGUCCCGCAACGAGCGCAACCCUUGUCCUUAGUUGCACGCAAG